GACGAACCGUCCGAACGUUAUUCGGAAUCACUGGGCUUAAAGGGCGCGUAGGCGGGAUCGUAAGUCAGGGGUGAAAUCCCACGGCUCAACCGUGGAAGUGCCUUUGAUACUGCGGACCUCGAGGUGGGCAGGGGCGUGCGGAACUUCCGGUGGAGCGGUGAAAUGCGUAGAUAUCGGAAGGAACACCGGUGGCGAAAGCGGCACGCUGGGCCCGUACUGACGCUGAGGCGCGAAAGCCAGGGUAGCAAACGGG
rnacentral:rRNA from 1 species